rnacentral:lncRNA from 10 species
CUCACUACUAUCCGAGCAAAUUGACACAGGGAGCUUAUGAGCCUAAUUGUUGGCAUCUCAGGCUGAUUUGCGUCCCCUGGGGCCACUCUGAUAACUUGGCUAAACAAAUACAGGAGGUGCUGUAGGGACAGGCUCACAGGGCCAGAGGGCUCCAUGGAGCCGGAUGACGGGGAAGUAUUUCAGGCCUCUCACCAGAACCUCCUGCUAUGCUCUGAAUGUCUGUGUCCUCCCAAAAUUCAUAUGUUGAAAUCCUAAUUCCCUACGUGAGGGUAUUAGGAGGUGGGGCCUUUGAAGGUGAUUAGGUCAUGAGAGCAGAGCCCACAGUAAUGGGGUGAGUGCCCUUAUAUAAAGGACCCCAGGCUGGUUGUGGUGGCUCAUGCCUGUAAUCCCAGCACUUUGGGAGGCUGAGGCGGGAGGAUCACUUGAGGCCAGGAGUUCAAGACCAGCCUGAGCAACAUAGCAAGACCUCAUCUUUAAAAAUAUAUAUAUAAAUAAAUAAGUAAAAAGGAUAUCAGAGAGCUCUUUGCCCCUUUUCUGCCAUGUGAAGAUACAAUAUGAAGUCUGCAAUCUGUAACCUGAGAGAUGGGGUUUCACCAUGUUGGCCAGGAUGAUCUUGAACUCCUGACCUCAAGUGAUCCACCUGUCUCGUCCUCCCAAAGUACUGAGAUUACAGGUGUGAGCCACCACUAAAUUUCUGUUUCUGAUAAGCCACUCAGUCUACGGUACUUUGUCAAAAUAGCCUGAACAGACUAAGGUACCCCCCUCACCCCAUCUCAUCACAGAGUCUCUGGACUUUUUUUCUUGGCUGCCUAUAUGGUUCUUAGGGUCAUCUUCACAGUCAGCUACGGGGUGUGGCCAGGCCCCGUGGGUAUGUGGUUAAGGUCAUUGGCUAACAUGGAUGACCAAGGCCAUUGCAGUUCCCAGACACUGAGAGGCUCCACACACUUGUGGAUGGGGGUCUGUCUUUCCUGAGGAAGGGUCAAUGGCCAGCUCGAGGCUGUGUCCACAGAUAAAGAUGUUUGCACAGAAUGUGGAGCCCAGAGGAGACAAGGAUCUAUCAAGGGCCUCCCAGGAGCUUGUGCCAGAAUGUGCAACUCAAGCCAGUGUUGGCAUGAAGGAAACUUGGCGUAACUGCAGAGACCACGGCUUCUUCAGAGCCUCACAUCUCCUGUGUUGGUGCCAUCGCAGCUGCACAGCCCCCAGCCCUAACACCCAGGACACCUGAAGCAAGAGCCCUUUCCUGUGGCUCCAGCUGAAAUCCAGGGGCCCCUUUCUCUCCCUAGCCCAAUUCAUGCCCCCUCUAAACCUUUGCUGUGGCCAGGGUUUAGAGGGGGCAUUGCUGGCCCCACCCAAGAGGCAAGGUCUGAAAGUGGAGAAAGACGGAUUCCCCAAGACUAGCUGGGAUGCUCUUACAAGAAUGACAGAAAAGAGAUGCUGGGGCUGGAUGCAGUGGCUCACACCUGUAAUCCCAGC